rnacentral:rRNA from 1 species
GAGUUUGAUCUUGGCUCAGAACGAACGCUGGCGGCAGGCCUAACACAUGCAAGUCGAGCGCUGUAGCAAUACAGAGCGGCGCACGGGUGAGUAACACGUGGGAACGUGCCCUUUGGUUCGGAAUAACUCAGGGAAACUUGAGCUAAUACCGGAUGAGCCCUAACGGGGAAAGAUUUAUCGCCGAAGGAGCGGCCCGCGGUUGGAUUAGCUAGUUGGUGGGGUAAAAGCCUACCAAGGCAACGAUCCAUAGCUGGUUUGAGAGAACGACCAGCCACACUGGGACUGAGACACGGCCCAGACUCCUACGGGAGGCAGCAGUGGGGAAUCUUGGACAAUGGGGGAAACCCUGAUCCAGCCAUGCCGCGUGAGUGAUGAAGGCCCUAGGGUUGUAAAACUCUUUCGGCGGGGACGAUAAUGACGGUACCCGCAGAAGAAGCUCCGGCUAACUUCGUGCCAGCAGCCG